AACGGCGCUUAUGCGUUAGAUGCGGUUGCAUCAAGAUCAUUAAAUCGUGACAUCAAUGCUUCAAUCAACAUUCGAACACUGUUUUAUUGCGACACAUAUGAUGUGUCACGGCCUGCAAAUUUCACUGAACCGGCACCAAGACAAAACAAUCGAACUAAAAGACGAAAAUUGGAAUUGGAUGAAGCAAGAAGACGUGCCACCAAAAAUUAUCAUCGCACCAAACAUCGUCGUAACAAUCCAAAUGCCAGUGGACUACAACCAAAACCGACAACAUUGGCUGCCUGUUAUCUUGGUAAAUUUGAUAGUUUCACCGAAGACUACCAUUGUGACAGUAAUAGUGGUGCAUCAGUAGUAUCAUCUUCGGAGAGCGAUCACAGUGACAACUACAGCGACUACAACGACGAGUGCGAGUGAACAAAGAUGAUGUUGGAUGAUGACAGCAACGAAUAUCACUUAAGAUUAGUUUUAAGAGAAAAAUACAAAUGAUAUUACCAUUAUAGAACUUAGUUCUACGUCGUGUCAGUGGCUGCUGAAAAGUCGAAAGAGACUAUUCUUGCAGCAUAGGGCGCACACUAUUCGGCGUUCCGUUCGCAAGAACUGGAGUGCUUUGAAUCAACCAGCUAUGCGGAAUUUGUCGUUAGUUUGCUCAAUGAAUACGGCCGGAAUAAGUGGUGCAAUGACAUGUGCACACUCGUAUGUUUGUAUAACGGCUUCGUUCGCUCCGAAUUGGAUUUUAAAGUACCGAAGUAGAUGCAGUGAAGAUCUCUACGUUUAUAAUAAUCAAAGAAUAAAAUACAGUUGACUUUCAAAAUUAUAAAAAAAAAUUCAUUUUCAACUUUUUAUAAAAACUUUUGAUUAAAAACAUAUUUUCCAUUAUUCCAUUAACAUAAAAAAACAACAAUUCACCAUUUUUCUUCUCUCAUGAAGUAUUCCUCCAUUUACAUUCAAAAUAAUUUGUUUCCUUUUUACUAAAUAAAAAAAAUUACAUAAAGUGUUUAAUAAUAAGGUCAUAAUUACAUUAUUGUUCUUUGAAUGUCUGGAUUGUUUGCUGUAUUUCUUUUUUGUAUUCAGAUAUUUUAAAUAUAUAACUGUACAAUGAUUUUCAGGUCUAUAGAAUAUUUUCCAUGGAUAAGUUGAAAAGAAACUCAAAUGUCAAGGAGUGCUGAAAUAUGGUGACAUGAUUAUGUUUCUCAUUUUUACUCUCCCAAAACCAAAUAACAUGAAAAAUUAACUUUUAGUUGGAACAGCCAUAAUAUUAAUCUGUCUGAUUUAAAUUCAAUUCAGUUCACGUGAACACCUCGUGUAAAUUCACAGUAAUCAAUUCAGAAGACUUUUAAAAUAAAAUAACAAAAUAUGUCGGAGUAUUUUUAGUAAUCAUUACAAACGAGUUUGAUACAUUUAAUUCACAGAUUCGAAAUUCUAUUAUCAUUAAAUUAAACUUUUCAAACAAAACAUUCAUAAAAUAGUGCCAUUUAAAAAAAAAAUAAACAUUACAAUACAUGGCAACAAUUCAAUAAAUUACGAAUUUCAAUUAAUGUAAGUUAGUGCGAAAUCAAAAUUGGGUCAAUUUAUACUUGAAAAAAAGAAAGAAAAAUCAUAUAUUCUAAAAACA